rnacentral:rRNA from 1 species
CAGUAGCCACGGUAAAACGGAGGGGGCUAGCGUUGUUCGGAAUUACUGGGCGUAAAGCGCACGUAGGCGGUUUUGUAUGUCAGAGGUGAAAGCCCGGAGCUCAACUCCGGAACUGCCUUUGAGACUGCAUCACUUGAACGUCGGAGAGGUGAGUAGAAUUCCGAGUGUAGAGGUGAAAUUCGUAGAUAUUCGGAAGAACACCAGUGGCGAAGGCGGCUCACUGGACGACUGUUGACGCUGAGGUGCGAAAGCGUGGGGAGCAAACAGGAUUAGAUACCCGCGUAGUCCCUGUCUCUUAUAC